UUAUAAUCAAUCACUCCACAAUCUCCCCCUUUUUGAUGAUGACAAAACAUUGAGUAUAUGUAAAGUAAAUUGCUCAAUAAACAAGAAAAUGAAAUCUAUAAAUGAAUUCAAGUGUCUGAUUUUUUAAUUUAUCCAAACUUGAAAGGUGUGAAACAAUAAAUUUUGGAGUUAAAGCUCCCCCUUUCAUUUGGAAUUAUAUAAGCCUUCAUGUCAUGCACUCAAUUGUUU
rnacentral:lncRNA from 1 species